UACGAGGGGUGCAAGCGUUGCUCGGAAUUAUUGGGCGUAAAGGGUAGGUAGGUGGUCUCAUUUGUCUGAUGUGAAAGCCUUGGGCUUAACUCAAGAAGUGCGUCAGAAACGGUGAGACUGGAGUCCUGGAGAGGGUCGUGGAAUUCCCGGUGUAGCGGUGAAAUGCGUAGAGAUCGGGAGGAACACCAGAGGCGAAGGCGACUUCCUGGCCUGUUCUUGACGCUGAGGCGCGAAAGCUAGGGGAGCAAACGGG
rnacentral:rRNA from 1 species